CACGGUGUCACAGAGCUGCAGUCACAAUGUCCUCAGCACUGCUGUGCCAGGGAAAUGCUGUUCAGAUUAUUGCAGGGGAACCAUGUCACACUUGCUGCAAGGGCUGGAAGCAGCAGCUCGGGGCUGUUCCCAUUAUGCUUUGAAAGAGCAGCACUCUGCAGCCCAUGUGAGCUGUACACAGAAGAUUGCAUGCCUCCUGAAAGGAACUCUGCUCUUUCAAGAGGGUGGGAAGCACUAGAAGCCUCUAAUUACAGCAGUGCAAACUGUCAGGUCUUCUAUAGUAGGUUGUAUUAAAAUGUAGUUUGUGUUGAUUCACUUUCCAGCCAAGAUAACAACCUCACAGGAAACCAGGUUUUUAUAUCCACUAAUUAAAAAUUGAUAUGGCUCCAAUGCAGCCUAGAUAAGGAGGCACUCACCCCUCGUACUGCCAGGCACUCAAAACCUGCCCUGGAAAGCCAAGCAAAGGCCAGGUAUCAGUCAUUGCUAAUUCCCUGCUGAUUCUCCUCUAGGUAAUUGUAAAGAAGAUCCAAAGGAUAUUUGAUUUCACUGUCCCAUAAGAGCUUUAUAAUCAGGUAUGUGCUUCUCUAAUAAUUUACUGGUUUAAUUAUAUUAUGUUGUCCAGGCAAAAAAACCUAAUAAAAGCUCAUAUAGGCAUAUUUUCCUUUAGCA
rnacentral:lncRNA from 1 species